UUCCUCCCUCUCCCUCUCUCACUCAGCUUUGAUCACAGUUCCAUGGUUUCUCUUUCCUUCCUGUCCUUUUCACCCUUCUUGGUUCUUGUUCUGCCCAGGUAUCCUAUUCUCUACCGCUCUUCUCUCACCACUCUUGCAAUUCUUUCCGUCUCCUGGCUUCUGUUUAUUUCUCCUGCAACUACUUUUCAGUGUUUCUUUGCAGUGUUUCAGUUCUCUCACUUUCCUCUCUUAGAGACAACCAUUGCUUUUGUUUCCCUUCCAGUGUCUAAGCUGGCAUAAGCAUCAAAGGGAUAAGAGGAGGACAGGGGAAUGGGGCACGUGUCUGCGGGGUGAGUCUCCAAUGAAUGGCUGACAGUGGUAAACAGCCUUUCAGCACUGCUUCUGCAAGGGUCAUCCUUAUUUGUGAAACAGUCAUCUGCAGCUUACAGUCUGAAAAUGAAGCUAUUUCCUGAAACCGUUCUCAGCAGUGAGGCAAGUUGGUCACCUAGACAAGCAGAUUCUCUGAAGCCAAUGAAUUGAUGUACAUCAGGAGAGUAGAAGCCUUCUCUGCAAGUGAUUUCCAUACCAAAUUAUUCCCCCUCGCCAGACAGUGCGAGAAAAUGGAAUCAGGCGAGAAAGGGAACAGAUCAGCAUGAAGCCGAUGUGGAAGGAAGCACCUGUGUGCAACACAGCCUUUUCACCCCGCAGCCUUCACCAGGACCUUCUCCACGACUGCAGCAGAAGGGAAUGCCAAUGCCACUUUCAGAUUCUACGACCGUUGAAUAGCCAUUUCCUCGUGAACAUGAAGUGAUUAAACAUCUGUCUGAACUGCUCAGCCUGAAGCACAAAGGUUCAAGGGAUGGUUGAACUUCCUUUCAAAUGUACUUUGGAGAUCCCUGACAAGUCAUUGCAGACAUACAGCUUGAGUGGUUGCUUCACUUUCUUAUGCUAUAGUGAAGCAAAUUGCCCCAAAUCAAAGUUUUAUAAGACAAGUGCAUUCCAGAGGCUAAUUUUUACUACUGAAUGCAUACGUGGUUUCCAAAUCAUUACAUAGGUAGAAAAGUAUUUGGGCUCUGCACAUGGGUUGCUGCAAACAGUGGGAGACCUGUGCAAGGUUGCUGUCAAAAGCCUAUGUGGUUUUGAAAGAAAAUGCACUAACUUUCAUCAUCAAUGAAUAUCUUACUGAAAUGUGAUUACCACUGAUAACCUCAGUAAUAAAAUGCUACAAAGUU
rnacentral:lncRNA from 7 species